rnacentral:tRNA from 1 species
GGGGCUGUAGUUCAGUUGGUUAGAAUAUCGCACUGUCACUGCGAAGGUCGUGGGUUCAAAUCCCAUCAGUCUCGCCA